rnacentral:RNase_P_RNA from 1 species
GAGAGGGAGAGGGCGGCCGACGGUGGCACAAACGUGCUGCUGAGGAAAGUCCUCCCACCGACCGGGAACGCAGCCGCAUGCAAGUGCGGGUGGCGAGAGUCACGGCAAUGGCACAGAAACGACACGGCCCAUCGUCAGUAAUGAAACGAUCGAGCCCUUCGGGGCGAUACCUAACUCGUUGAACGUAGCGAUGGGAUACGAUGAAACGGUGAAUCCCUGCGGGUGCAAGCCAAAACAGGGCAAAUGGAUCGCCUGGUAUCCGCCCGGGUAUGGCGCUUAGCUGAAUGCCGCCAUGAACAGAAGGAGGCUUACUCCUCCCACUC